CGAAAGGACCAGAAUUGGGAAAUAAUUUUUUUUACUUGAAUAUUAUUAA
rnacentral:rRNA from 1 species